rnacentral:rRNA from 1 species
AUACGUAGGGGGCGAGCGUUGUCCGGAAUGAUUGGGCGUAAAGGGCGCGUAGGCGGCCCGGUAAGUCUGGAGUGAAAGUCCUGUUUUUAAGAUGGGAAUUGCUUUGGAUACUGUCGGGCUUGAGUGCAGGAGAGGUAAGUGGAAUUCCCAGUGUAGCGGUGAAAUGCGUAGAGAUUGGGAGGAACACCAGUGGCGAAGGCGACUUACUGGACCGUAACUGACGCUGAGACGCGAAAGUGUGGGGAGCAAACAGGAUUAGAUACCCUGGUAGUCCACACUGUAAACGAUGAAUGCUAGGUGUAGGGGGUAUCGACCCCUUCUGUGCCGCAGUCAACACAAUAAGCAUUCCGCCUGGGGAGUACGGCCGCAAGGUUGAAACUCAAAGGAAUUGACGGGG